rfam:TPA: Bos taurus chromosome 5, whole genome shotgun sequence.
UCCCUGAUAGCUCAGUUGGUAAAGAAUCCGCCUGCAAUGCGGGAAACCUGGGUUCCAUCCCUGGGUUGGGAA